rnacentral:rRNA from 1 species
CCUACGGGAGGCAGCAGUGGGGAAUCUUGCGCAAUGGGCGAAAGCCUGACGCAGCAACGCCGCGUGCGGGAAGAAGGCUUUCGGGCUGUAAACCGCUUUCAGCAGGAACGAAAAUGACGGUACCUGCAGAAGAAGGAGCGGCCAACUAUGUGCCAGCAGCCGCGGUGAUACAUAGGCUUCAAGCGUUGUCCGGAUUUAUUGGGCGUAAAGAGUUCGUAGGCGGUCGAGUAAGUCGGGUGUGAAAAUUCUGGGCUCAACCCAGAGACGCCACCCGAUACUGCUUAACUUGAGUUCGAUAGGAGAGUGGGGAAUUCCUAGUGUAGCGGUGAAAUGCGCAGAUAUUAGGAGGAACACCGGUGGCGAAGGCGCCACUCUGGAUCGAUACUGACGCUGAGGAACGAAAGCAUGGGUAGCAAACAGGAUUAGAUACCCUGGUAGUCCAUGCCGUAAACGGUGGGCACUAGGUGUGGGAUUCUAUUAACGAAUUCCGCGCCGUCGCUAACGCAUUAAGUGCCCCGCCUGGGGAGGUACGGUCGCGAGACUAAACUAAAGUAAGUAGACGGCGNGAGACGNGCCGACGACGACGACGAGGGAGGUAGG